rnacentral:rRNA from 1 species
UACGUAGGGUGCGAGCGUUGUCCGGAUUUAUUGGGUUUAAAGGGUGCGUAGGUGGCUUUUUAAGUCUGACCUGAAAGUGGGCCGCUUAACGGCACAGGGUGGUUGGAUACUGAAGAGCUUGAAGAGGGUGGAGGCCGCCGGAACGGAUCGUGUAGCGGUGAAAUGCAUAGAGAUGAUCCAGAACCCCGAUUGCGUAGGCAGGCGGCUACGCCCCACUUGACACUGAGGCACGAGAGCAUGGGGAGCAAACAGG